rnacentral:rRNA from 1 species
CUACGGGUUGCACCAGCAGGGAAUAUUGCACAAUGGACGGAAGUCUGAUGCAGCGACGCCGCGUGGAUGAUGAAGGCCUUCGGGUUGUAAAAUCCUUUUCAGGGAGAAGAGGAAGGACGGUAUCCCUGGAAUAAGCGUCGGCUAACUACGUGCCAGCAGCCGCGGUAAUACGUAGGACGCAAGCGUUAUCCGGAUUUACUGGGCGUAAAGCGUCUGUAGGCGGUUUAGUAAGUUUGAUGUGAAAGCUCCAGGCUCAACUUGGAGAGUGCAUUGAAUACUGCUAGACUUGAGGGGAUCAGAGGAAAGCGGAAUUUCCGGUGUAGCGGUAAAAUGCGCAGAUAUCGGAAAGAACACCAGUGGCGAAGGCGGCUUUCUGGGAUCAACCUGACGCUGAGAGACGAAAGCUAGGGUAGCGAACAGGAUUAGAUACCCUGGUAGUC